GUCCCACAUUGGACUGAAAUGGCCAGAUCUUCACCCUAGGGCAUGGAUCAGUCUUUGGAUCUCUCUUCCAGGCAUGCUACAGAGUCAGCAUCUCAAGUGGAAGACCCCAAGCCCUGAUGGGGCACACUCCAUCCUGUCCCGGAAACUACACUAUAUUGAAAAUCACUCCGGGUGCAGGGGCUGUUUCAGCAAUACAUUCCACAGCGAACAUGCUCAAAUGGCAAAGCCGCAUCUGUGACUCCAGUUCCCUAAAGAAGAGUUCCUGGGAGUUUCAAAGUCAUUCUGUUGGACGUGGAGGUGGCUCAGUGAUAAAACAAUACUCUGAGAGGUUGGCCCAUUUGGGAAGGUUCCAGUGCAUGCAGCCACUGACAAUUAAAAAAUAAAAGAAG